UUUGAGAUGGAAAUUAACUGAGAAAUUGCAAGUAUUUGCGUGUGAAUUCUUGAAUGAUUGUUAAGGAAUUUAUUGACGUUAAGCCACAUUUCACAUAUCCUGGAGAAUAGAAUCCAAUACGCUCCAAAAAAAGAGUAUAUUAUUAAUUCACAACCGAAUGGAAAAGAAAUCAGGUGAGGAGGUAGUCAGCACGACAAUGUCCCGUUCCAUCAAAGUGACAUCAGCCAGCUAAUAUCCUCUAAGAAGUUAUUACUGCCAACCCGCAUCAUGUCUAUAGCAAAGGCUUUUAGUUAUUACAUAUAAAGUAUAGAAAAAAAUGUGUCCCUCAAUCCUAAAAAAAACUUUUAUCCUAAAAUUUGGAUCUAUAACAAUUCCUACACGCCUCUGUGGCCUGGUUAAAGCGGUUUGCUGGCAACGUUUUUGUUGGCUGUUGCUGGCAAACUUUUAGCAACUUCAUGCUUCGCCUCGAAUUUAAUAUAUAAAUUUUUUGUUCACUCUUCCGAAGGCAAUUUUAGUUUGACUUUGUCCGUGUUAAGAUAUAUUUAAUAUUGCCAAUCAUGUCAUAUUUAGUACGAAAAAAUAUUGUUUUCACUGAAUUCUUCAUAUUAUGUUUUCGUACCGGUCCGUAUCACGUGGAUACGCAUUUCAAGGAAUUUACUAAAUAAACAUAGCACCACUUCUAUAGUUUUAAAUGUGACUUAUAAAUUGUCAAAUUUGUUUUCUUUACAUAUAAAAACGAUGAGAGAAAGGA